UACAGAGGUCUCGAGCGUUAGGCGGAAUCACUGGGCUUAAAGCGUGUGUAGGCGGACGCCUAAGUACCUUGUGAAAUCCCACGGCUCACCCGUGGAACGGCUGGGUAUACUGGGCGUCUUGAGCCUUCUAGGGGCCAGCGGAACAAAUGGUGGAGCGGUGAAAUGCGUAGAUAUCAUUUGGAACGCCCACGGUGAAAAACAGCUGGCUGGGGAAGUGCUGACGCUGAGACACGAAAGCCAGGGGGAGCGAAACGGGG
rnacentral:rRNA from 1 species